rnacentral:rRNA from 1 species
UGGGGAAUAUUGCACAAUGGGCGCAUGCCUGAUGCAGCCAUGCCGCGUGUGUGAAGAAGGCCUUUGGGUUGUAAAGCACUUUCAGCGGGGAGGAAGGCGAUAAGGUUAAUAACCUUGUCGAUUGACGUUACCCGCAGAAGAAGCACCGGCUAACUCCGUGCCAGCAGCCGCGGAAAUACGGAGGAUGCAAGCGUUAAUCGGAAUUACUGGGCGUAAAGCGUACGCAGGCGGUUUGUUAAGUCUGAUGUGAAAUCCCCGGGCUCAACCUGGGAACUGCAUCUGAUACUGGCAAGCUUUAGUCUCGUAGAGAGGGGUAGAAUUCCAGGUGUAGCGGUGAAAUGCGUAGAGAUCUGGAGGAAUACCGGUGGCGAAGGCGGCCCCCUAGACGAAGACUGACGCUCAGGUGCGAAAGCGUGGGGAGCAAACAGG